rnacentral:rRNA from 1 species
GGCAACCACGUGCCAACAGCCGCGGUAAUACGGAGGGUGCAAGCGUUACUCUGAAUCACUGGGCGUAAAGGACGCGUAGGCUGUUUAGCAAGUCAGUUUUGAAAUCCUAUGGCGCAACCAUAGAACUGCACUUGAAACUGCUAGACUAGAGUAUGGGAGGGGGAGAUGGAAUUAGUGGUGUAGGGGUAAAAUCCGUAGAUAUCACUAGGAAUAGCUAAAGCGAAGGCGAUCUCCUGGAACAUUACUGACGCUAAGGCGUGAAAGCGUGGGGAGCAAACAGGAUUAGAUACCCGAGUAGUC